UCUCUGGUCCUGGUGCUUAGCUAGGAAGAGACAAUUUUGUCUCUGGUCUUGUUUCUGAUUCUGUUUCCAUAAUGAAACCUGGACUUGUGUUGGUCCUGCGCAUUCAAGCCCUGGCACCAGUGCUGCUCUACAAGAAGCUCGGGAGGAGAAGAUGGUGGAUCUCUGCAGUGACCUGAAGGCCUCUCUUGGAGCUGACCCUACGGCUGCUUGUGAGGGUAGAUAAAGGGAUGGAGGAAAGCCCACAAGAAUGCACUGAAAAAAAUCUUUCUGGACCCUCAUUAUCACUGUGACCAAUAAGGAAUGGUCAUAAUGUAUUUCAGGCACUGCUUUAGUAAGGUGGUAAUCCCCCCAGCACACAGGCAUUCCAAAUCAGCUGGAAGCUGAAUUAAAAGUUUGACAGCAAGGUUUCCAGCACAGACCAGUACAGUUCUUCAGCCUUCCUCUGGUAUUUUCUGAUAGAUGAAUUAAGGACAGCUGAAAAUGUCAGGAAAGCACCUAUACAGGUGUCAAACUCUGCUCUCUGCAAGCAGUCACAGCUGACCGUGCACAAGGGAAGGCUGAUGGACUCAUUGCAGAACCAGUUUCACCUCAAACUUAUCCUGCAAGUCCUCAGAUGCUCAUUGUGCUUGACUUCAAUGUGCUGAUAGACUUGUGAGGGUGUGGUUCUGCCCAUGCCUGUUGUGGAAGAGCUAUCUGAAUAAUUUUGAGGAUACAGAAGAUGUUUAAGCAGUUAAUUGGUUCUCUCAAUGGGGCUGGAGGGCUUGUGGGAGGGUAGCCUCUGGUGUAGGAGCAUUAAACAAUCAGCAAAACAUUAUGCUGAUUAUUCAUGUAUUAAUUGGCAGAAGAAAAAGCUCCGGGGGAGACUCAGACUGCUAAUUUCCAUCCUGACACAGCACUGAAAGGUCUCCCCAAGCAAAAUCUGCUCCCUUGAGAGCUUUCCUUCAGCUUAGUUGUGACUGUAAUAACACCCGGGAGACUCCUCCUGGGGUUAGCAUCCUGGUUAGACAGGGUGAAGUGGCAGCGUUGGUAGCAUGCCUGUUCCUCCUCCAUUCCUGGGUUUUCUCAUGGGGUUAUUCCCAGCGCUGCCUUCAUGACACUUGGGCGUCUGCCCAGACAUGGCCACCAGCUGCUCUGCCCUACAAAAUGCCUCUUCUCCCUUGCAAAAUGCAACUGGGGACCUUCAGCUCUCAAAUGCCUGUCUCUUGGUGAGAAGGAAGCCAAGAACCAGCACUGCUGCAGGUGAAGAGAUCAUCCUCUUGCUAAGCUGCUCGGUGGGAAAGGUCUCUGCCAGCUGUGGAGAGGGUGCAAGGCAGAGGAGAUGCAGUUGUUGCUUGGAGACAGGGAAUGACAACAGAUUAAGUUUUUUUUUUUUUCUCUCACAAGCUUGUGACUGUCUGUACCUGUGAAAAAUGGACUCCAAACGCCAAUACACAGGGGAGCAAGGUGUGAAAACCCUGACCUUGGAGGCGCUGGGAGUGUGACUGUUGUGGUGCUUCAUUUAUUUUGCUGCUGUGCUUUGAGGGGGUGCUGCUGGCCAGAAGCUGAGCUCAGUUUUAAGCCUUUAGCAUAGAUUAAUCUUGAGAUCCCCUAUUUUUA